UAGGGAAUCUUCCACAAUGGACGCAAGUCUGAUGGAGCAACGCCGCGUGAGUGAAGAAGGUUUUCGGAUCGUAAAGCUCUGUUGUUGGUGAAGAAGGAUAGAGGCAGUAACUGGUCUUUAUUUGGCGGUAAUCAACCAGAAAGUCACGGCUAACUACGUGCCAGCAGCCGCGGUAAUACGUAGGUGGCAAGCGUUGUCCGGAUUUAUUGGGCGUAAAGCGAGCGCAGGCGGAAUGAUAAGUCUGAUGUGAAAGCCCACGGCUCAACCGUGGAACUGCAUCGGAAACUGUCAUUCUUGAGUGCAGAAGAGGAGAGUGGAAUUCCAUGUGUAGCGGUGGAAUGCGUAGAUAUAUGGAAGAACACCAGUGGCGAAGGCGGCUCUCUGGUCUGCAACUGACGCUGAGGCUCGAAAGCAUGGGUAGCGAACAGG
rnacentral:rRNA from 1 species